UAGAGUUUGAUCAUGGCUCAGAACGUACGCUGGCGGCACGCCUAACACAUGCAAGUCGAACGAAGUAGCAAUACUUAGUGGCAGACGGGUGAGUAACAUGUAGGUAUCUGCCCUUUGGCCUGGAAUAACACGAGGAAACUUGUGCUAAUACCGGAUAAGUCUUUACGGAGAAAGCUUUAUGCACCAUUGGAUGAGCCUGCACUUGAUUAGUUUGUUGGUGGGGUAAUGGCCUACCAAGACUAUGAUCAAUAGCUGAUUUGAGAGGAUGAUCAGCCACAUUGGGACUGAGACGCGGCCCAAACUCCUACGGGAGGCAGCAGUGGGGAAUCUUGCACAAUGGAGGAAACUCUGAUGCAGCGAUGCCGCGUGAGUGAAGAAGGCCCUUGGGUUGUAAAGCUCUUUCGUCGGGGAAGAAAAUGACUGUACCCGAAUAAGAAGGUCCGGCUAACUUCGUGCCAGCAGCCGCGGUAAUACGAAGGGACCUAGCGUAGUUCGGAAUUACUGGGCUUAAAGAGUUCGUAGGUGGUUGAAAAAGUUGGUGGUGAAAUCCCAGAGCUUAACUCUGGAACUGCCAUCAAAACUUUUCAGCUAGAGUAUGAUAGAGGAAAGCAGAAUUUCUAGUGUAGAGGUGAAAUUCGUAGAUAUUAGAAAGA
rnacentral:rRNA from 1 species